rnacentral:rRNA from 2 species
UAGGGAAUCUUCGGCAAUGGACGAAAGUCUGACCGAGCAACGCCGCGUGAGUGAAGAAGGUUUUCGGAUCGUAAAACUCUGUUGUUAGAGAAGAACAAGGACGUUAGUAACUGAACGUCCCCUGACGGUAUCUAACCAGAAAGCCACGGCUAACUACGUGCCAGCAGCCGCGGUAAUACGUAGGUGGCAAGCGUUGUCCGGAUUUAUUGGGCGUAAAGCGAGCGCAGGCGGUUUCUUAAGUCUGAUGUGAAAGCCCCCGGCUCAACCGGGGAGGGUCAUUGGAAACUGGGAGACUUGAGUGCAGAAGAGGAGAGUGGAAUUCCAGGUGUAGCGGUGAAAUGCGUAGAUAUAUGGAGGAACACCAGUGGCGAAGGCGGCUCUCUGGUCUGUAACUGACGCUGAGGCUCGAAAGCGUGGGGAGCAAACAGG